AUUUCCUCGUGUUGAAGGUGACAGAGCUGCCGUCCUCUGGUUGAAGGUGACAAGAGUUGCCAUCCUCCAGUUGAAGGUGACAGAGCUGCCAUCCUCUGGUUGAAGGUGACAGAGUUGCCAUCCUCCAGUUGAAGGUGACAAAGCUGCCUUCCUCUGGUUGAAGGUGACAAAGCUGCCUCCCUCUUGUUGAAGGAGACAGAGAAGUGCCAUCCUCAUGUUGAAGGUGACAGUAGGUGCCGUCCUUCUGCUUCAGGUGACACAUUGCUGAUUUCCUCCAUCAACAAAUGUGUUGCUGGCACAGUGCCCCCAUACUCCUGACGGAGGGGUGGGGGGGGGGGACAGUAGUAGUACCCAACUCCUGCUGUUGAACGCCCGCAGCUGCCAUCUCUUACUAAUAUAGGCGGGCUGCUGUCCGCUUUUUGCUGGUCUGAGAUAUUUACACUGGCGGGCGGCGUUCUUGCCAACUAUAUGCUGUUAAGUUGAACAUUGUAACUGUUAAGAGCAUUCUAUUGUGGUUUUAAUAUUGAACAAUUAUACAUAUACGAAACAGACAAAUCUGGUGUCCGAAAUAGU